rnacentral:rRNA from 2 species
UAGGGAAUCUUCGGCAAUGGACGAAAGUCUGACCGAGCAACGCCGCGUGAGUGAAGAAGGUUUUCGGAUCGUAAAACUCUGUUGUUAGAGAAGAACAAGGACGUUAGUAACUGAACGUCCCCUGACGGUAUCUAACCAGAAAGCCACGGCUAACUACGUGCCAGCAGCCGCGGUAAUACGUAGGUGGCAAGCGUUGUCCGGAUUUAUUGGGCGUAAAGCGAGCGCAGGCGGUUUCUUAAGUCUGAUGUGAAAGCCCCCGGCUCAACCGGGGAGGGUCAUUGGAAACUGGGAGACUUGAGUGCAGAAGAGGAGAGUGGAAUUCCAUGUGUAGCGGUGAAAUGCGUAGAUAUAUGGAGAAACACCAGUGGCGAAGGCGGCUCUCUGGUCUGUAACUGACGCUGAGGCUCGAAAGCGUGGGGAGCAAACAGG